GCACUGCCUGAAACGAACCAGGCCAGGGCCGUGUGACCGGCUGCGCAGGAUGGGGGCGGGAAGGGCCCGGGCUGGGCGCGAGCCCCUCCAGGAGCUUCCCGCCGGGACCUCCGCCCGGUUUCUCCAGGGACUUCCCGCCGGGACCCCCGCCCGGUCCCUCCGCGGCCCGGCCCCGCCCCGCCCCGCCCCACCCCGCCCGGGCCAGGAGAGAGGCUGCGCAGGGAGAUGAGCGGGGCUUGAGGCGCUCCGUCCGCCUGGGGAGAGGCCGCUGAAGGCUGCCCCGGCUGCCUCAGGGUCCGUGGCCCAGCGGCAGCCCAGGGACGGCCCGGGAAAAGCCUGGGGCAGGGCUCGCCUCACCUCAGCGCCCGGGCGGCCGCCUACCGAAUGUUCCUAAAGGAAGUGUCCCAAAACUGCAAACCAGAGCAUCCGGUGACGUACUUAGCCACAAAGGAAGCCCAGGAAUCCUACUACUUGCCUCCUGACAAAGAGCUAUGUAAAUCAACGCACGGAUCGUGAUGGGGCGAGGAGGUAAAGAAGCAGCCUGAGGCUCAGUGUCUUCGAAGAUUGACGUGCUGUGGUGUCAUCCUCCUGGAUUUGCUGGAGCCGGAUAGUUUCCUGGCGCUACUGAUUUUAAGAGUCCUGUAGCACAGCAACAGUGAAGAUCACAAUCCUGUUGUGGUAAGUACUAUGGUGAAGUAAAAUCUGAAACUUGUCUUCCCAAGAGAGUUAGAAUGAAAUCUAGAUGCAUAUGCAUACACCUCUGUCUGCACCUACACCUAUCAUACAUCUACACUUGCACCUGGAAAUGUAUGAAAUGAUGAAACAAGAGGUGGAGUAAUCAUGUCAGUUGCGUUGGCCAUAAAUAUGGUAUUUCAAAAGUUUGGGUAGCUGUAAAUCAGCACCAAGCUAAUCAGGACCAGGUUACAGCUGAUUUGUGAGCUUUGCUGCAGUGCUGUAAAAGGAUGUGAAAGAAAGAAGACUGUAAUUUUAUCCUGGCAUGGAUUUCUCCCUUGUGUAAGAAAAGGCUUAUAAGAAAGAUGUCACUUACGUUAUCAGAAGGAUGAAGACGUGCAGGUUUUUCUGUCUGAUUCUAGCACAGGCCAUUUACAGGAAGGUCUUAGCAAAUAUUAAUGAUACAGUUUACUGUUUGUGGUAUUGUCCAUUAGUCCCACUGUGUUUGCAGGGCACAUGGCUACAGGAAUUUUUAUUCCUGUCACUUGGAAUCAUUACUAAUGAUACCAGUGAAACUGGAAGCUUUUAUGUAGAAUCCAAGCCUUCACUCUAGCAAAUAUAUGGAUUUAUGGCACCAGAGGUGUGGCUGGAAGCCAACUGGGAAGUGCUACUGCCUGUACUUGACUAACCACAGAAGCCACCAGAGAUCUGAUAUGCUUCCAUGCGUGCCUUGUGCAGAGCACAGUAGGUUGGGAGUCCUUUCUUUGGUGGAUUGUGUGAAUUACCUGGUUAAUAUGAAGGAAGUUCAUGGAGUACUCAGUAUAGAACUGCUCCCUUGCCCAUCGUGGAGCUUGAUGUGCAGCUGAGAGGCUUGGAGGGGGAGGAAACUCUCCACAACCAGUUGCUUAAGACAAUUUUCAUAUUGUACUAUGAGCUACAUAGCAACAAUGACCUUUAUCUAAUUUGCACUUUUAUAACUUUCAUAGUCAUUGUAAUAACAAUAAACUCUUCCAUGGGUGCUUAAUGGGUUUGUUUACAAGCAAAGAGCAUGAAGUGAGGAUCAAUAGGUAUUCAGAUGCCAUUUUGGGGGCAGAGAUUGUAAUUAUCAAACAAAAAUUAGACAUUGUUCUUUAUGGGGCAAUAAAGGCACACACGGGGUCAGUGAGGUAUCUGCUGAGACUAGGAGUAUUGAUUUUUUAAAAUGGCUUCUGUGUUCUUCUCAUGGAUUUCUCUUCACAUCAGUCCAGCUGGCAGGCUCUGUGCAUCCCAAGGGAAGCUGAGUGAAUGAACAUGGAGCACUGGAGUAAAAGUUCCUUGAGUCAUUUAAAACAUGCUUCUGCUGAGAAGACUGUGAGGCACAUAGUCUAUAUGCCUCUCAGGUUUUGUGUCAGUCUCUUCCCCUGAAUGUCUUCACCUAAGCAUGAACAUGAACAAAGAUACAUAUAAAAGUAGCUGGAGAAUGGUUUGCAGAUGCAAACUACAGCAUAUAUGUUGUAUUUUUAUAAGCACCAUGCUGGGAGAACACAUGGCUAUUUAGUUAGAAUGGAGUCUGAGAACUGAGCUGAUUUUACUUCGAUCUCUUACAUUGAAUUCCUCUGUGAUUGUCAGUGACUCAUUGAGGCAAAAAUCCAACUGUAGUUAAAAUCAGAGUCAGACUUUUCAUAAAUGGUAACUGGAAUUAGGUAAACCUUUAAAUAUCUGAGUUUUGUGCUCCCUGUCCACAAAUAAGAUAUAGUGAUACAAUAGAGUUCUGAUGCUUGUGACGUGCUUUAAAAGUCAUAAAUCAUGACAAGACAAGUAAAAAUUGUUAUUUAUAGUUUGUUAGAGUUUUUCCUAGGGAGCAAGUAGACUUCACCAAGCCCAGUGGGCAUGGCAUGCAAAUUAUAGUAAAGAAAAUGGUGAACAGAAAACUUGUGUUUAAUUGGACUCUGGUGAAGCUUUGGUGUGGUCAAUUGUAACAAAACCACAAUUGUAUAUCAUACAUAUAUUAAAUAUCAGCGAUUUCACUGGAUUCUUUCUACAAACUGCUGAUGUCUUUAAUAAACAGUUUUCUCCUCCAGAUUUCUUUCUUUCCUUGUUGAAGCUGAUAUCAGAUUUGAAAUGUUGUAUAUUGACACCUAAACGGUGUGAUGGAAUUCUACAAUGCACUCCUGGAAUGGCUGGUGAUAGUCUUCCUUGAAUGUGGUACAAGAGAAUCCAGAGUUUGGAAUAACUUCUAAAGGAUGAAAAAAGGACAUUAAUAAAAGCAAUCCUUUUGUUAAA